rnacentral:rRNA from 1 species
GUGCAGCCGCCGCGGUAAUACGGAGGGUGCAAGCGUUGUCCGGAAUCACUGGGCGUAAAGGGUGCGCAGGCGGGGCGGCAAGUCGGAGGUGAAAGCCCAUGGCUCAACCAUGGAAGUGCCUUCGAAACUGUUGCUCUUGAGUCCCGGAGAGGCUGUCGGAAUUCGUGGUGUAGCGGUGAAAUGCGUAGAUAUCACGAGGAACACCAGAGGCGAAAGCGGACAGCUGGACGGGUACUGACGCUCAGGCACGAAAGCGUGGGGAGCAAACAGGAUGAGAUACCCCAGUAGUCC